GCGGACAUAAUGAUCCUUUCCCCAGAUGAUCGACAAUGAACAUGCUGAGUGCUAUAAUUUCUCUUAGGAGAAACCAAGCCAGGACUCUGAUCUGC
rfam:Triticum aestivum genome assembly, contig: Triticum_aestivum_CS42_TGACv1_scaffold_320462_4BL